ACUUUGGUGUAUUCUGUGUUCUUUUUUUCAUCACAGGUCACAUGCUGAGGAACCAGAGCCCACGCACAACCUCUACAGAUGACCAGGAAGCCACUGAAUCCCCAAACUGAUAUCUCUUCUCUCAAACCAAUGCCAACACGAUUGUGUUAAUAUCAACUAAACUAGCGGUCAUUUCUAAAACACAACUAAGGCUUAUGUGCUUUCUUUGUCUGCUUCUUCCAUGCAUGCUUUCUGAGUGUUAGUGCCCUUUUUUAAUGUGAUCUAUUCCAUCAUGUUGAACGUGUAGCACUGUGAAAUAGUUUUGUUAAGUGAGUACUUUACUUGAUUAGAUAUUUGUUUUGAAAUGCAAAGAAGUUUUUCCACCGCCCUCCCUCUGUUUGUGACUUAAUGGUGCCCCCUGGUGGAGAUCCAGCAGGCAGACUACAUGUACUACAGAUCUACAGUCUUUACAGAUAGUAACCUUGCGAACGGGAGAAGCCGACUUGGAGGAGAAUGUAUGGGAUUAGAGAGGGAGGUAAGAUAUGAGUAUAGGGAUAAGCCUGCAGAAUAAGCCCCAUGGGUCACAGAGCUGCAUGGGGUACACACAUGGUCAUCCCGUUCUCUAGUGAUGAAACACGGAGGCUCCCUCUGAGGUUAGGAUAUAGAGCCUUUACUAUUCUUCAAUAAGGUCAAAGGUCGGAGGCAGUGGGAGAAGGUUUAUAUGGGAGCACUGGCGUCUACACUGGAUACUGAAGGGAAAGGGCAUAACAGCCUCUAUAGCAGGCAUCAACUAGAUUCAGCUGAAGACCGAACAUAAUGACAAAUCAUCCGAUGGCAAAUUGACCGCAAAAAUCCCAAACAGAUAUAGUAUUCGACUAACACAUACUCAUUUCAAACCUUGCUUUCAUUUGUAUACGAUCACGUGUCUAUUAUGCAUGGAGAGUAGUUGGGAACAGAUAUCUCAAAUUAAUAUCACUUGGAGCUGAUCUCCUGUUUUGUUUUGUUUUUUUACAGUCUUUUAUGUCCAAUAAUAACAA
rnacentral:lncRNA from 1 species